GGGCAGGCGCAUACUACUCUUCCUUUUCUUGUUCAGCGGUACUCCUUGCCCCCUCAUUGACGUAUGCACCUGUGACCUUAUACUCCUUACCAUUCUUAAUCAUUGAGGGGAGUAAAAACUACCUGAUGAGUCCCCAUUAACCUCAACAAGAAGAAUGUCGCCACCUUUCUCUAUUUUAUUUUUACUGUUUGUGCCCCAUGGUAGCCGUAAGUAGGUGGGGUAACGGCUCACCUAGGCGACGAUCCCUAGCUGGUCUGAGAGGAUGACCAGCCACACUGGAACUGAGACACGGUCCAGACUCCUACGGGAGGCAGCAGUGGGGAAUAUUGCACAAUGGGCGCAAGCCUGAUGCAGCCAUGCCGCGUGUAUGAAGAAGGCCUUCGGGUUGUAAAGUACUUUCAGCGGGGAGGAAGGGAGUAAAGUUAAUACCUUUGCUCAUUGACGUUACCCGCAGAAGAAGCACCGGCUAACUCCGUGCCAGCAGCCGCGGUAAUACGGAGGGUGCAAGCGUUAAUCGGAAUUACUGGGCGUAAAGCGCACGCAGGCGGUUUGUUAAGUCAGAUGUGAAAUCCCCGGGCUCAACCUGGGAACUGCAUCUGAUACUGGCAAGCUUGAGUCUCGUAGAGGGGGGUAGAAUUCCAGGUGUAGCGGUGAAAUGCGUAGAGAUCUGGAGGAAUACCGGUGGCGAAGGCGGCCCCCUGGACGAAGACUGACGCUCAGGUGCGAAAGCGUGGGGAGCAAACAGGAUUAGAUACCCUGGUAGUCCACGCCGUAACGAUGUCGACUUGGAGGUUGUGCCCUUGAGGCGUGGCUUCCGGAGCUAACGCGUUAAGUCGACCGCCUGGGGAGUACGGCCGCAAGGUUAAAACUCAAUGAAUUGACGGGGGCCCGCACAAGCGGUGGAGCAUGUGGUUUAAUUCGAUGCAACGCGAGAACCUUACCUGGUCUUGACAUCCACGGAAGUUUCAGAGAUGAGAUGUGCCUUCGGGACCGUGAGACAGGUGCUGCAUGCUGUCGUCAGCUCGUGUGUGAAAUGUAGGGUAGUCCCGCACGAGCGCACCCUUAUCCUUUGUUGCCAGCGUUCGCCGGGACUCAAGGAAACUGCCAUCAUAACCUGCAGAAGGUGGGGGAGUGACGUCAAGUCUUCUGCCUUACAAACAGGCCUCACCACCCGCGCUACAUGGCCACACAAAAGAAAGACCUCCGGGACACCGGAACGCUAAAGUGCCCGAAUUCCGAAAUGGAAUUGCCAGACAUAU
rnacentral:rRNA from 1 species